GAUGAACGCUGGCGGCGUGCCUAAUACAUGCAAGUCGAGCGAACUUUUGGGAGCUUUCUCCCAAAAGUUAGCGGCGGACGGGUGAGUAACACGUGGGUAACCUCCCUCUAAGACUGGGAUAACUUCGGGAAACCGGAGCUAAUACCGGAUAACAUUUAAGACCACAUGGCCUUCAAUUAAAAAGUGGCUUUUUGCUACCACUUACAGAUGGACCCGCGCCGCAUUAGCUAGUUGGUGAGGUAACGGCUCACCAAGGCGACGAUGCGUAGCCGACCUGAGAGGGGAUUCGCCAACACGGGACCGAGACCACGCCCCAGCCUCCAAGGGGAGGAAGAAGAAGGAAACCUCCGGAAUGGGGGGAAGUCUGGCGGGGCAAAGGCGGGUGGGGGGAGGAGGGUUUCGGGUCGUAAAGAUCUGUUGAUUGGGGAGAAACAGAUGUGUACGUAACGAGGCGCAUCUUGACGGUACCUAAUCAGAAAGCCACGGCUAACUACGUG
rnacentral:rRNA from 1 species